UACGGAGGGUGCAAGCGUUAUCCGGAUUUACUGGGUUUAAAGGGUGUGUAGGCGGACUUUUAAGUCAGCGGUGAAAUCUCCGGGCUCAACCCGGAAACUGCCAUUGAUACUAUUGGUCUUGAAUGUUGUUGAGGUGGGCGGAACGGGUCAUGUAGCGAUGAAAUGCAUAGAUAUGACCCGGAACACCGAUUGCGAAGGCAGCCCACUAAGCAACGAUUGACGCUGAGGCACGAAAGCGUGGGGAUCAAACAGG
rnacentral:rRNA from 1 species